rnacentral:rRNA from 1 species
GUAAACGAUGUCGACUUGGAGGUUGUGCCCUUGAGGCGUGGCUUCCGGAGCUAACGCGUUAAGUCGACCGCCUGGGGAGUACGGCCGCAAGGUUAAAACUCAAAUGAAUUGACGGGGGCCCGCACAAGCGGUGGAGCAUGUGGUUUAAUUCGAUGCAACGCGAAGAACCUUACCUGGCCUUGACAUCCACAGAACUUUCAGAGAUGNUUGGUGCCUUCGGGAACUGUGAGACAGGUGCUGCAUGGCUGUCGUCAGCUCGUGUUGUGAAAUGUUGGGUUAAGUCCCGCAACGAGCGCAACCCUUAUCCUUUGUUGCCAGCGAUUCGGUCGGGAACUCAAAGGAGACUGCCGGUGAUAAACCGGAGGAAGGUGGGGAUGACGUCAAGUCAUCAUGGCCCUUACGGCCAGGGCUACACACGUGCUACAAUGGCGCAUACAAAGAGAAGCGACCUCGCGAGAGCAAGCGGACCUCAUAAAGUGCGUCGUAGUCCGGAUCGGAGUCUGCAACUCGACUCCGUGAAGUCGGAAUCGCUAGUAAUCGUAGAUCAGAAUGCUACGGUGAAUACGUUCCCGGGCCUUGUACACACCGCCCGUCACACCA